AUCCGGUUUUUGCAAUUAAUGACGUUAUAAUGACGUCUAGUUUGUUGCCAUGACCGGGUGCACUUCCCGCCCCCAUGUCCCAGAGGACCCAAAAAAAGCACGUCUGGAUAGGGUUAAAUUAAGUGUUUAAAUUGACGAAGCAUGGAAAUCAUUGGCACUGGACUCAAAAAAUGAAGAAAGUCCUGGUACGAAAUGUACAAGGAAUAGUUUGGAAAAUUUUAAAAAAUUUGGAAAAUUAUUUUUUGUCAAUAGCAAAAUCUCGCACACAAUAAUGGUAAACUCAUUGCCUCUAUGUCGGCGCUGAAAGUGAGAAGGGGAGCAAGGGAUGAAGAUUUUCUUCUCCCUUUUCCUAUCUCCUUUUAUCGCUCUUUUACCCAUCCCCAUGACGCAGGUCAUUAAUCACCUCGUUUAUUAAAAUGUCAAAGUUUUGGUAUUCUUCCAUUUCAGUUUUUGAUGCUUCUUCUUCAUUUUAGAUCCAAGGUGCUGAAUGCAUGAAGACUAAUAUAUCUGGUUCUUAUUUAGAGAAAGCGAGUUGGAAUUAUGUCUAUCGUGUUCAACUACUAAAAUUCGGAAAAAUUCUGGGUUGCCUUUUCUAGAUUUACCAGAGCUGACCUGCGUGAAACCAGGAAAUACUUUUUGCAAUCAUCAGAUAUUUACUCAGAUUAAAGCUACGAGUUAUCAUAUAAAAUUAUUAUAUGUAUACUUUUCAAAUUAUUUUUUUUCCAUUAUUUUGAUGCCUUAAAAUUUCUUAGCCACCGAUGCGCAAAAACAUCCCUGACAGGCUGUAGACAAAAUACUUAUCAAUUUAUAUUAGUAAAUUCAUUGUAAAACAUUAUUCAUUAAUUUUUACUUGUAGGCUAAUGAUUCAUUUUUUUCUUCUUUUCUGAACGCGUCAACAAAACUCCGCCAUUGGUUGGAGUAUGAAUGUCGUGUGUGAAUUCAGGAAACAACCAUCAAUAUAAAUUAUUCGAUACUGGGUACAUUUAAUAAGGUAUUGUUAAAUUAUUAAAUUAUUAUUUUUUUAAAAACUCAAUAAUUCACUGGGAAAAGACAAAGGAAAUCACUGCCGUGUCGGUGGUUUUAUAUGUGAUAAAAAAUCAUGUGAUUUGCAUAAACUUUAGCUUUGAUUUUCUCAGCUUAGACAACGUUUAUUUUUAAAAUUACUUCGCCAACGAACUCUUUAGAUGGGUCGUUUUUUAAGCCAUUUAAAACGCUUGCAGUCCGUGUUUUAUCAGAUAUAAAACACUCGAGCUGCGCUCUCGUUUUUAUAUCUGAAUAAAACACUCCUGCUCUUGUUUUAAAUAGUACAUAAAAUGAUGUGAUAUAAAAAUUAACCACCUUUUUUACCUUGUAAUUUUAGAUAUCUCAAAUCUGGGGUUUCAGUGUAGGCAGUGUCCAACAGUGAACAGUCAUCACGAUUUUGGUUGAAGGAGUUAAAUACAUGAGAAAUAUACAAAACAUCGACAUUCCUUCGUUCAGCUAGUGAAGGUGAUGAAAAAUAUACAUGCACAAGACGUUCUGUCAGUGAAAAGAGCAUUAAUUUAUAGUAUUUGUAAAUAAUUAUCUAUUAGAAUUUAGUCGGGACACACAUUGACAACACGGGUGUAAUCUUCUGAAGUGUUUAUUCUGAAUAAAAUUUACUCUACUAUAUAUUACUACAAUUUCCUUUUAAUGUCAUUUUAUAGUUGAUUUUACACAAGCAAUAAACUAUGACAAAAAAAAAACAUUGUAUUGAUGUAAAGCGAACACAACCUUAUUUGUUCUGUUCUUGAAAUUCAAUCUUCCUAGUCAAUGAGACAUUACGCAUGAUAGCCGGCUCCUUUACUCGCUGCAGAAGAACACUACUUCCAUGCCGUUUGACCACACGAUAACCAUUGGGAUCAAAGGAUGUUGAAAACUUAAUAUUGCUCUUUGGAUGUUUGAGUAGCACCAUAUCCCAUUCUGAGACCGUUAAAGGAGUGGACCGAUUCUUGUAAUCACUAUCAGUAUUGCUGCAUUUAAACUUUGUUUCUCUUGUCACGAGCAAGGGGACUUAUCCGGGGUCUCUGAUUUCUCUGAUUAACUAUACUCCCAUACUUAACUCGGGCACCUUUGUCCGAAUCUCGCGUCUGGACAUGAUCUUGGUAGGAGAAACUCCAGUCAUAUGCAUUGCAUGGGGGGGGGGGGGGUUGUUCAAAAGAAAGGUAUCCAACGCCUUUCUCCAAUCUCUCCCUUGAACAAGAGCAAUUCGGAUAGCCUUCUCUAUUGUAUGAUUGAAUCUUUCAACGGUGGCAUUAGCCUGGGGACAAUAGGGAGUGACUUUGCGGUGGUGUAUCCCGUGGUAAGAGAAGAAGUCCUCGAUCUCUCUAGAGACUAAAUUGGAACCGUUAAUGGAGGUGACUUGUUCGGGGAGCCCAUGUGUUGCAAAAAUCUUCUGCAGGGGGCGAAUGAUAACUUCUGAUCAUGUGGCUCGAAUAAUCUCCACUUCUGGCCACCGUAAGUAUGCAUC